rnacentral:rRNA from 1 species
GACGAACGCUGGCGGCGUGCUUAACACAUGCCAGUCGAACGGAAAGGCCCUGCUUUUGUGGGGUGCUCGAGUGGCGAACGGGUGAGUAACACGUGAGUAACCUGCCCUUGACUUUGGGAUAACUUCAGGAAACUGGGGCUAAUACCGGAUAGGAGCUCCUGCUGCAUGGUGGGGGUUGGAAAGUUUCGGCUGUUGGGGAUGGACUCGCGGCUUAUCAGCUUGUUGGUGGGGUAGUGGCUUACCAAGGCUUUGACGGGUAGCCGGCCUGAGAGGGUGACCGGCCACAUUGGGACUGAGAUACGGCCCAGACUCCUACGGGAGGCAGCAGUGGGGAAUAUUGCACAAUGGGCGGAAGCCUGAUGCAGCAACGCCGCGUGCGGGAUGACGGCCUUCGGGUUGUAAACCGCUUUCGCCUGUGACGAAGCGUGAGUGACGGUAAUGGGUAAAGAAGCACCGGCUAACUACGUG